rnacentral:rRNA from 1 species
UACGGGGAGGGCAAGCGUUGUUCGGAAUUACUGGGCGUAAAGGGCGCGUAGGCGGCCUGCUAAGUCGGAUGUGAAAUCCCUCGGCUCAACCGAGGAACUGCAUCCGAUACUGGCGGGCUUGAAUCCGGGAGAGGGAUGUGGAAUUCCAGGUGUAGCGGUGAAAUGCGUAGAUAUCUGGAGGAACACCGGUGGCGAAGGCGGCAUCCUGGACCGGUAUUGACGCUGAGGCGCGGAAAGCGUGGGGAGCAAACAGGG